rnacentral:rRNA from 1 species
UUGCCUACGGGGCGCAGCAGUGGGGAAUAUUGCACAAUGGGCGAAAGCCUGAUGCAGCAACGCCGCGUGAAGGAAGAAGGUCUUCGGAUCGUAAACUUCUGUCCUUGGGGAAGAUAAUGACGGUACCCUUGGAGGAAGCCCCGGCUAACUACGUGCCAGCAGCCGCGGUAAUACGUAGGGGGCAAGCGUUAUCCGGAUUUAUUGGGCGUAAAGCGAGUGCAGGCGGUUCAAUAAGUCUGAUGUGAAAGCCUUCGGCUCAACCGG